rnacentral:rRNA from 1 species
GUAGGUGGCAAGCGUUGUCCGGAAUUAUUGGGCGUAAAGCGCGCGCAGGCGGUUCUUUAAGUCUGAUGUGAAAGCCCACGGCUCAACCGUGGAGGGUCAUUGGAAACUGGAGAACUUGAGUACAGAAGAGGAAAGCGGAAUUCCACGUGUAGCGGUGAAAUGCGUAGAGAUGUGGAGGAACACCAGUGGCGAAGGCGGCUUUCUGGUCUGUAACUGACGCUGAGGCGCGAAAGCGUGGGGAGCAAACAGGAUUAGAUACCCUGGUAGUCCACGCCGUAAACGAUGAGUGCUAAGUGUUAGGGGGUUUCCGCCCCCCCCUAGUGCUGCAGCUAACGCAUUAAGCACUCCGCCUGGGAGUACGGCCGCAAGGCUG